rnacentral:lncRNA from 1 species
UGGAAUUAAUGAAUUUAUGCCAUGUACCAAAGCGUUCAGACUUGUUCCUCCCACUUUCUUGUACAAAUCUAAUAAAAUUAAAAAUGCCACUAAUUUGACAACAAAAAUAAUACCCAGUUGAGUUCCUUAUAAAUAGGCCACAACUCACAGAAGUCCUCCUAUAGAGAUGGGCAACUGUUGCAGACGUGAAUCGGCGUCAGAAUGGGCAUCUCUGGAUGAGAUGGAGUCGCAGCCUCCGUCUCCGUCUCCGCCUCCGCCUCCGCCUCCGCGUCCGCGUCCGGUGGUGAAGAUCAAGAUCACGAAGACAGAGUUGGAGGAACUGGUCGCUUCUGCUCGGCGCCAGGACCUUCCGGUCGACCGACUCUUGUCGCGCUUCAUUCAACCUCGCAGUCGCCGCUCCUGGGCCCCUUCUUUACAUACCAUUUCCGAGUAAUUCUUUCCUUCUUUCUUUUCAUUGAUUAUAGUGUAUUCCUUCAUGGGGAUUUAGACAUUGUAGGCUUUGUAGCUCAAUCCAAUGAGAAUUCUUCUUCUUUAUGAAGCUGUAUUGUAUACUCGAUCCAUAUAUUUGGCUUCAUUCUUGAUCUACCAGAUUUAGUUGACUAUAUAUACAGCGUCGCUUUUUCUUCUAUUUUUUUUUU